ACUGGAGCGCGCGGCUCCUCCUCCCGAUUCUCGCCUUUGGGACCCGAAGACCUGCUCCGCCUCCGCCUCCGCCUCUUGGGGCUUCCCGGGCCCGCGCGCCCUCAGAGCCACCGGGCGCUGCAACCAGACGGGUGCAAGCCUCCGUGGACUCUGGCGCUGG